GCUGAAGUAGAAAUGGAAAGAGAGGAGGAAAUCCUUUUAAGAAGUCUUGAUUGGAAGGGAAAAGGGCUAAUAAAGAGUGCAUGUGAUGUUGAAACAAACUCAAAUUUUCACCAAGACAGUUCAGAUGGCAAUUGUAUUUUUUACUAGUAUGCCUCAGCAAUCCUCAACUUGCAUAAUUUUAAUUUAUUGGUUUUAUAUAUUUCCCUCUAAUUCAAGUAACUAUCAUUUGCAUAAAAUGUAUGGGGCAAUAAUCUUAUAGAUGAAUUGUCAAAAGACAGGAAGAAAGAAGGCAGUCUUCGAUUUUACAAACCAAAGUUUAGCUAUAUCUUCUGUGAUAUGGAUGGAACAUUGCUGAACAGAAAAUGUCAAAUUUCCUCUGCAACUGUCACUCUGUCCGGCCUUGCAUAACUUUUACCGCCUUACUCUAUUUUCUCCCUGCAUUGUUCUAUUUUCUAAUCUCUCUAAAACAGGUCGUUCAUUUCAUCUCACCGUGUUCGCUUCUAAGUUUUAGCCUUAAUUUUUUAUUCUAAUAUUGGUUAGAAUAGCACCCGCAUCAUAUUCUCAUUAUUUCAGUAUAGCAUGUUGAGGGUCGGUUACUAUGCAACUAUUUGGGAUUGACAGCUAUGGUGCUAAUAAUAUUUCAAAUCCCCUAAUUAUGAAGAGAAGACUAAUGAGGAAAAGUUUAUUGAUUCAUCAUUACACCAUUAUGUUAUUUUCUCUAAUAAUGUGCUUGCAACUUCAGUGGUUAUCAACUCCAUUGUAUUUCAUGCAAAGGAAAGUUCAAAUCAGGUUUUUCAUGUGUUGACUGAUGGAGAAAAUUAUUAUGCAAUGAAGCUCUGGUUCUUGAGGAACCAUUAUAAGGAAGCUUCUGUUCAAGUGCUGAAUGUAUCAUUUUGUGGU